rnacentral:tRNA from 1 species
GCCGUGGUGGUUCAGUGGUAGAAUUCUCACCUCCCAUGCGGGAGACCCAGGUUCCAUUCCCGCCCAGUGCA